GCCUUCGUGGUGUAGUGGUCAGCACUUUCGACGCGUAAACGACAGGUCCGUGGUUCGAUUCCUGGCGAAGCCA
rnacentral:tRNA from 1 species